ensembl:lncRNA
UUUCUCUGUCUGUUAGGUGGUGACAGUAUCCUAAUGUGUUCACUGAUCCCUUUCUCUGUCUGUUAGCUGAUGACAGUAUCCUAAUGUGUUCACUGAUCCCUUUCUCUGUCUGUUAGGUGGUGACAGUAUCCUAAUGUGUUCACUGAUCCCUUUCUCUGUCUGUUAGGUGGUGACAGUAUCCUAAUGUGUUCACUGAUCCCUUUCUCUGUCUGUUAGCUGGUGACAGUAUCCUAAUGUGUUCACUGAUCCCUUUCUCUGUCUGUUAGGUGGUGACAGUAUCCUAAUGUGUUCACUGAUCCCUUUCUCUGUCUGUUAGCUGGUGACAGUAUCCUAAUGCUAAUGUUUUCACUGAUUCCUCUCUGCCUGUUAGCUGGUGACAGUAUCCUAAUGCUAAUGUGUUCACUGAUUCCUCUCUCUGUCUGUUAGGUGAUGACAGUAUCCUAAUGCUAAUGUGUUC